rnacentral:tRNA from 2 species
UGGGGCGUGGCCAAGUGGUAAGGCACCAGUUUUUGGUACUGGCAUUCAGGGGUUCGAAUCCCUUCGCCCCAGCCA